rnacentral:rRNA from 1 species
AUUGAACGCUGGCGGCAUGCCUUACACAUGCAAGUCGAACGGUAACAGGUCUUCGGAUGCUGACGAGUGGCGAACGGGUGAGUAAUACAUCGGAACGUGCCUAGUAGUGGGGGAUAACUACUCGAAAGAGUGGCUAAUACCGCAUGAGAUCUACGGAUGAAAGCAGGGGAUCGCAAGACCUUGUGCUACUAGAGCGGCCGAUGGCCGAUUAGGUAGUUGGUGGGAUAAAAGCUUACCAAGCCGACGAUCUGUAGCUGGUCUGAGAGGACGAUCAGCCACACUGGGACUGAGACACGGCCCAGACUCCUACGGGAGGCAGCAGUGGGGAAUUUUGGACAAUGGGCGAAAGCCUGAUCCAGCAAUGCCGCGUGCAGGAUGAGGGCCUUCGGGUUGUAAACUGCUUUUGUACGGAACGAGAAGCCCCGGGUUAAUACCCUGGGGUCAUGACGGUACCGUAAGAAUAAGCACCGGCUAACUACGUGCCAGCCGCCGCCGUAA